CUCGUAGCCUAGAGAAAAGUAAGAAGUGAGGUGAAUCAGCUGGUUCAAAUGGAAAUUCUCUUAGACAUGGGAACUCUCACCGUUCAGGUGAAAAGUGACUCCUUGCUGGUUUUGAGCCAGCUUACAUGAAAUCCAGCCGGAAGGUGCCCACGUGCUUGUUCGAGAGGGGCCGGAGAGCGAGUGGUUAGUGGCGAGAAGACAGGGAUGGACCAGAAAAAUAGAUUAAACUCUUGGAGAGUUUGAUGGAUAAGAUUGGUUAAGGGACUGUUGAAAGAUUGAGUCAAGGUUCCCAUAGCAGAGAAGAAGUACAUCUACGACACUUGGGUGAUUAAGAUCAAACUUUUUUUGCACCUUUAAGUUGCUUUUGUUUGGAUGUAAAAUAUUUUUUAGAAAAUAUUUAUUUUUUAAUUUUUUGGUGUAUGGUUGUCGUAAAACCUAACAAAAAUAAUUUAUCUAUCAAUUUUUGACAAUUUAUUUUAUACGUUCGCCCGAUGGACUCGACCUAGACUUUUGCCAAAUACCGAAAAAUAAAAAUAAAAAAAUAAAAUUCCAUCAAGUAGCCAACCAUCAAGUGUAUAAUUCAUAAGCAGAUUUUUUUGGGUGGUAAUCAACAAUUCACGAUCAUAUAUAAUUUAUUCACAGAAUGUUAUAGCGCUUCCAAACAUUGCAAAAGUAACCGAAACCUGAGAUAGAAAA